rnacentral:rRNA from 1 species
UACGUAGGCAGCGAGCGUUGUUCGGAGUUACUGGGCGUAAAGGGUGCGUAGGUGGGCAGGUAAGUCAGUGGUGAAAUCUCCGGGCUUAACCCGGAAACUGCCAUUGAUACUAUCUGUCUUGAAUACCGUGGAGGUGAGCGGAAUAUGUCAUGUAGCGGUGAAAUGCUUAGAUAUGACAUAGAACACCAAUUGCGAAGGCAGCUCACUACACGAAUAUUGACACUGAGGCACGAAAGCGUGGGGAUCAAACAGG